rnacentral:rRNA from 1 species
GUACAGAAGGGGGCACGUGUCUCUGGAAUCACUGGGCGUAAAGCGCACGUAGGCGGCUUUUUAAGUCAGGGGUGAAAUCCUGGAGCUCAACUCCAGAACUGCCUUUGAUACUGAGAAGCUUGAGUCCGGGAGAGGUGAGUGGAACUGCGAGUGUAGAGGUGAAAUUCGUAGAUAUUCGCAAGAACACCAGUGGCGAAGGCGGCUCACUGGCCCGGUACUGACGCUGAGGUGCGAAAGCGUGGGGAGCAAACAGG